GAUGAACGCUGGCGGCGUGCCUAAUACAUGCAAGUCGAGCGAACAGAUAAGGAGCUUGCUCCUUUGACGUUAGCGGCGGACGGGUGAGUAACACGUGGGUAACCUACCUAUAAGACUGGGAUAACUUCGGGAAACCGGAGCUAAUACCGGAUAAUAUUUCGAACCGCAUGGUUCGAUAGUGAAAGAUGGUUUUGCUCUCACUUAUAGAUGGACCCGCGCCGUAUUAGCUAGUUGGUAAGGUAACGGCUUACCAAGGCGACGAUACGUAGCCGACCUGAGAGGGUGAUCGGCCACACUGGAACUGAGACACGGUCCAGACUCCUACGGGAGGCAGCAGUAGGGAAUCUUCCGCAAUGGGCGAAAGCCUGACGGAGCAACGCCGCGUGAGUGAUGAAGGUCUUCGGAUCGUAAAACUCUGUUAUUAGGGAAGAACAUACGUGUAAGUAACUGUGCACGUCUUGACGGUACCUAAUCAGAAAGCCACGGCUAACUACGUG
rnacentral:rRNA from 1 species